GCUAGGCAUGGUGGUACACAGCCAUAAUCCCUGCUAAUAGGGAGGCAGAGGCUGGUGGAUUGCUUGAGCUCAGGAGGUCUGACCUGAUCAGUUGUCUCUACUAAGUCAAGCACUAAUACGCUGAGUUCCUGGGAACAGGGAGCCACCAGGUUGCCUAGAGAAGGGCGAACAGGUCCAGGUUAGAAAUAGAACAGGUCAAUGCUUCCAUGCUAAUCAGCAAUGAGAUCAGGCCAUGGAUGGUCACUGUACUUAGAGGGUGACAUAAGGAGACCUAGUCUCAA
rnacentral:SRP_RNA from 1 species